UUGCUUUUGCAGCACACAUACUAAAACUGGAAUGACACGAAGAUGAUUAGCAUGGACCCAAUGUAAAAAUGACAUGCAAAUUCAUGAACCAUUUCAUACUUUU